rnacentral:rRNA from 1 species
GACGAACGCUGGCGGCGUGCUUAACACAUGCAAGUCGAACGAAGAGCGAUGGAAGCUUGCUUCUAUCAAUCUUAGUGGCGAACGGGUGAGUAACGCGUAAUCAACCUGCCCUUCAGAGGGGGACAACAGUUGGAAACGACUGCUAAUACCGCAUACGAUCUAAUCUCGGCAUCGAGGAUAGAUGAAAGGCGGCCUCUACAUGUAAGCUAUCACUGAAGGAGGGGAUUGCGUCUGAUUAGCUAGUUGGAGGGGUAACGGCCCACCAAGGCGAUGAUCGGUAGCCGGUCUGAGAGGAUGAACGGCCACAUUGGGACUGAGACACGGCCCAGACUCCUACGGGAGGCAGCAGUGGGGAAUCUUCCGCAAUGGACGAAAGUCUGACGGAGCAACGCCGCGUGAGUGAUGACGGCCUUCGGGUUGUAAAGCUCUGUUAAUCGGGACGAAAGGCCUUCUUGCGAAUAGUGAGAAGGAUUGACGGUACCGGAAUAGAAAGCCACGGCUAACUACGUG